UAGGGAAUCUUCCGCAAUGGACGAAAGUCUGACGGAGCAACGCCGCGUGAGUGAAGAAGGAUUUCGGUUCGUAAAACUCUGUUGUUAGGGAAGAAAAAAUGUAUAGUAACUAUAUACAAAAGAGACGGUACCUAACCAGAAAGCCACGGCUAACUACGUGCCAGCAGCCGCGGUAAUACGUAGGUGGCAAGCGUUGUCCGGAAUUAUUGGGCGUAAAGCGCGCGCAGGUGGUUUAGAAAGUCUGAUGUGAAAGCCCACGGCUCAACCGUGGAGGGUCAUUGGAAACUAAUAAACUUGAGUGCAGGAGAGAAAAGUGGAAUUCCUAGUGUAGCGGUGAAAUGCGUAGAGAUUAGGAGGAACACCGGUGGCGAAAGCGGCUUUUUAGCCUGCAACUGACACUGAGGCGCGAAAGCGUGGGGAGCAAACAGG
rnacentral:rRNA from 1 species